GACGAACGCUGGCGGCGUGCUUAACACAUGCAAGUCGAACGGAAAGGCCCUGCUUUUGUGGGGUGCUCGAGUGGCGAACGGGUGAGUAACACGUGAGUAACCUGCCCUUGACUUUGGGAUAACUUCAGGAAACUGGGGCUAAUACCGGAUAGGAGCUCCUGCUCCAUGGUGGGGGUUGGAAAGUUUCGGCGGUUGGGGAUGGACUCGCGGCUUAUCAGCUUGUUGGUGGGGUAGUGGCUUACCAAGGCUUUGACGGGUAGCCGGCCUGAGAGGGUGACCGGCCACAUUGGGACUGAGAUACGGCCCAGACUCCUACGGGAGGCAGCAGUGGGGAAUAUGGCACAAUGGGCGGAAGCCGGAUGCAGCAACGCCGCGUGCGGGAUGACGGCCUUCGGGUUGUAAACCGCUUUCGCCUGUGACGAAGCGUGAGUGACGGUAAUGGGUAAAGAAGCACCGGCUAACUACGUG
rnacentral:rRNA from 1 species